AACGGUUGUAGCAAUACAAUAGUGGCGCACGGGUGCGUAACGCGUAACCAACCUACCCGAAUCUGGGGGAUAGCCCGCCGAAAGGCGGAUUAAUACCGCAUAAAACUGCAGAGCGACAUCGCUUAACAGUUAAAGAUUUAUUGGAUUCGGAUGGGGUUGCGUGCCAUUAGCUAGUUGAGGAGGUAACGGCUCACCAAGGCGACGAUGGCUAGGGGAGCUGAGAGGCUGGUCCCCCACACGGGCACUGAGAUACGGGCCCGACUCCUACGGGAGGCAGCAGUAGGGAAUAUUGGGCAAUGGGCGAGAGCCUGACCCAGCCAUGCCGCGUGCAGGAUGAAGGCUUUCUGAGUCGUAAACUGCUUUUAUCAGGGAAGAAAAAAGGGCAUGCGUGCUCUACUGACGGUACCUGAUGAAUAAGCGCCGGCUAACUCCGUGCCAGCAGCCGCGGUAAUACGGAGGGUGCAAGUGUUGUCCGGAUUUAUUGGGUUUAAAGGGUGCGUAGGCGGUUCUUUAAGUCCGGGGUGAAAGCCCACUGCUCAACAGUGGAACUGCCCUGGAAACUGGCGAACUUGAGUA
rnacentral:rRNA from 1 species